GCACAGUUUAUAUUUUGUGUUUGUGCGUCGCGCACGCGGUCACUGAGUGAAUUGGACAUUUGUAGCAACCAUGUUGAUUGAUGGUCUGCAUUAGAAGGACUCAUUGCGCAUGGUUUUGCUCUGCUUGGGACCUGACUGGCAUUGUUCUCGGGAGCGCCUUCUCAAGAACAACAGAACCGUUUUUAAGAAGAUGAGCUGUUAAAUUGAUUUUCGGAUUCUAGUCUACUUUGCCGUGAGAAUCAGUACCAAGGUGGAUGUGGAAGCGACCUAUUAAUCUGCACGGGGCUAUCGCGUUCAUGACGAUAAGCGUAUUUUCGUUUCCUCAGAACGCAUUAGGAUUUUCGGACUUGUUUCAAAUUGUAAGUGAUAGAAUUUAAUGUUUUCCUUAUUUUUUUACGCAGAUUAUGGUGCCGUACAAAAUGAUUUCUCGCCCUGUAUUGGAGAGAGUUUUGUUGAAAAUAGAACAAGCCAAACAAGAAAGCAUCGUUAGAUUUCUUUACAACGUGUUCUCAGGACACUGCCUAAUUUUUCUCAAAAUGUAAGUAAUCUUAUAUAAUAUUUUAUUUUUUCCAUGAUUUUUCAUAUACUUUGGGGCAUUUCAUAUCACGAAAGACUAAAAAUAUGCAUACGUUUCAUUUUUAUAAUGUGUGCGUUUUAGGUUUAACGCGGCGUCGUCGAUUGAUGAAAGGCAUUGUUUUUACUAUAGACAUAUUCAAUUCCACGGCGAGUAUAAAAUUAAAUUGUUAUUUUAUUCUAUAUUUUAUACUUUUGUUAUUUUUUAAUUUGACUGAGAUAAGCAACUUAAAACUUUUGUUAUACAUUUAAUUUAGACUAAAAUGAGCAAAAUUCGGCUUAUUUUGAUUCUGUGCACAAAAUGUUACAAUAAUUUUAAAUUGUUUGAAAUAUUGCUUUGAAAGCAGUAGAUUACAAAUGAUAACAAAGCAAAAAGAUACAGUACACGGAGGUAUGCGAAAGAGGCCCAAAACUGGACAAUAAUUGUUUAUCAAGUGUAAAUUGUUAGUUUGCAUUUACUCUUUGCUUUGUUAAGUGCAGCGGUAAAGCACAGCACUUUAAAUAGUCAAUUCAAAAUAACAUUUUACAUUUCAUCAACAAGUUCAUUAGGUAGCCAUUUACUGCUAUGGAUGUGUUGUCAUGUGUCGCAAAUAGCGUUUAACAUUAAAUGCACUAUGGCGGUACAGAAUCGACACUUAAAUUUGCUUAUUACAAGUCGAAACUUGUAAAUUUUUAA